rnacentral:rRNA from 1 species
GGCGGCGUGCCUAACACAUGCAAGUCGAGCGGAAAGGCCUCCUUCGGGAGGUACUCGAGCGGCGAACGGGUGAGUAACACGUGGGCAACCAACCCCUCACAUCGGGAUACCCCGGGGAAACUCGGAUCAAUACCGGAUAAUGCGCGACGCUGUUGGGCGUCGCACCAAAGGUAGCUUCGGCCUCUGGUGAGGGACGGGCCCGCGGCCCAUUAACUUGUUGGUGGGGUAAUGGCCUACCAAGGCAACGAUGGGUANCUGGUCUGAGAAGAUGAUCANCCACACUGGGACUGAGAUACGGCCAGACUCCUACCGGAGGCAGCAGUGGGGAAUAUUGCGCAAUGGGCGGAAGCCUGACGCANCAACNCCCCUGCGGGAAGAAGGCUUCCGGUC